GAUCUUCUCCGGAUAUCAUUUUGGUAACGCCACUUUUGACUUCAAUGAUUCUUCGACUAGUCUCUUUCGCGGUAUUAAUCCGUUUACAAUAUCAAUCAUUAUGACCACGAAUUCGUAGCCAUAUGGGUUUAUAAAGUAAACGGGUUCUAUUGUGAAUCAGACUAUGAGGAGGUAUUUCAGUCAAUACUUCCGUUACCAAGCUGAUGGACUUUGAGGAUUUUUAUGCCUCAUUUUGUAUUGUAUGAAAAUCAGCCUCAAGAUUCUUAAAGGCAGGUAAGUGAUUAAAUCACGAUCGGCGUAUGUUCGCUUAUUAAUGCUUGAGUUCAUCGAAAUACGUUUUUUUUUUGUAAAAUUGGUUAAUAGACGAACAUGGCCAACACAUUAUUUUAAAGAGCAUAAUGGGCCUAAUAGGCCUGCUAACUAGUCUUUUCUCUUGUUCCACAGUACUGUUGAUGAGCUGACUGCAGGACCUUGCAUGCGGUUUCCGUCCACGUGUGUCGAUCAAUCUCCAACUUCUGUGAUGCAUCAGAUCUGAGUCAGGCAAUUGAGUUACCCUCAACUCAUCAAGCCUGUGCGCGGCAUGUAGACCUUCACCGGUGAGAGCGAAACAAUAAGGCUUAGGAUUACGGAAGAGCAGCCUUAUAAAGGUAGGAUUUUUCCAUUAUAUGCAUGUGUAUUUUUUUAUGUAUCUAGGAGUGGGGGAAAAGUGAAUAGUGCAUACAGUGACUGAAGUGUACAUCAACAUUUAAUAUUUUAGCUGAUCUUCUUGUAAUUUUAAGUGGGAUGCGGCGAUUGACUGCAAUAAUUCCUUUAAUGGUCUCUCUCGCGAUGUCAAUCAGUUCACUUCAUAAAUCAGUAUGACUAUGAAUUCAUAGCCAUGUCAGUUCGUAAAGUAAACCGAUUUUCUUAGUGAAUCAGACUAAGGGGAAGUAUUGCAGUUAAUAAUUCCGUUAUCAACUUGAAUGGUUAGAUCCCAUUUACUAUUUUAAGAAGAUUAGUUCGUUGGUAUCUACAAGAAGGUGGGUAAUUAAAUCAAUGUAGGCGUGCUCGCUUAUGAACCAAUUAUUUUAUCCUGCCUUGUCUCUAGUGAGAUGAUAGCGCUGGGUGGAAUAGUUGGAUUACUAAACCAGCACGCUUUGCGAUUACAUUUUGGUGGUCGAACUAACUUCCUCGAUUGUUCACAGAGUCUGUAAUGGGCUUACUACAAGACGGUCAAGGUCAAGAUCAACCCUUGUAAUGGAUCCCACCUGAUUCCAGUCUACUUCGACCCUUGUGGAGAAUACCAAGGUGCAACCGAGUUAGUGUUCGUGACGGACUUACUACCAGCCAUUCGAGGAUCUCACCUGAUUUCCAGUCUACCCCAACUACGGUGAAAACUGUCAAGGUUCAAUCGAACUAGAUGUGAGGUACCCUCACUUCUUACGGUGUCCGUCCUUGCUGUGUUUCAUCCAGGCAAGGCCGCAUUGAUAAGGCUAAGGAUUCCAGAAGGGCAGCCUUAUAAAGGUAGGAUCUUUCUUUUUUUACAAUGUCUCCAAUCGAUGUUGCAUACUCGUAUAAUGUACUGAGAGUAUUUACCUACUCUAUCCAGUUGAAAACUCAUGUUAGGUAAAUGAUCUGUUUAAAAUUAUUCUACUCUGACGUUUAAUUAUCCGGUUCUAUUUAAUCUUGACUAUAUACAGAAAUCUUAUUCUGCUAUACAGGUACACACCUGUUUCUCUCUCUAUAAUUAUCUAUCUCUGCACAUAAAAUAAUCACCUUCUAAUAAAGCGUCCAAAACCGAGUCGGGAAACGCGCGCUAUCGUACUAGUGCUGGUGUUUAGUGAGGAAAUUCUACUAGAACGGAAGAUGUAUGGCAAUCCUCUAAAUCGUUGAUCCGGGUUUAGUUUAUUCAUGCUUAAGGGUUAUGUUACCAUCUGGCAAGAGUUUUGUUCCCAGUCUUUUAUCAGUUUAUUCAUACAACUUCUUACGUUUUCUAAAGCAAUGGUUUUGGGGGAAUGCUAUAAAUCUCUGGUAGCAUCAAACGGUAAGUGAAUAUUCGGGGGUUCAGUGGGACCAAUUGAGCCACUUGCGAAUGGCCAACGCCCCACCUCCAUUUUUUUUUCAAUUAAUUAAUCUUUAGUUACGAUUCUAAUCCUGCCAUAUUGGACUUUUAGCCUUGCUCAUGGCGCAGGCGCCACAUACUGUAACCUUAAAAGUUUUUCCAUUUCACGCAAGUGCCACCUUGCCAACUGACUUCCUAUCCCGAAAGUGGACUGCUUGACCAAGACAAGCAGGGGUGGUGGUGGGCCCAUUCCUUCCCCCCCAUCCUUCCCCCUUCCUUCCUUUAAAAAUCAAUUUACUCCAUAAUGCUUAUUUAGUACAACCACGAGAUCGUAGUUUCACAAAUUUAUGAUGUUGUAAAGGUUUUUGUGACGGAUAGGAUUGUGCUACCAUCUCGCAAGAGUUUUGUUCCCAGUAAGUUUAUUCUUAAAACGUAUCAUGUAUCUGAAGUAAUGGCAUAGAGGUAUCUUACUCGUAUAAUUCCCUGGUAGCAUCAAACAGAAAGUGGGACUAUUUCAGUCACUUGCGAAUGACUAACGCCCCACCUCCAUUUUUGUUCAACUAAUUCAUCUUCGCUCCUCAGCUUCACAUUUCUCACACAGAUAAGAUUGACAACCCGACAGUGCAAUGGUCAAACCUGAUCUAAACAAUCGAUAGUGCAUCCGGUGCCGAAUUCCACAACGUUAGCAUUAUCUACGGUUGCGGAAUGGAAGACAUUUUUGCUACUCCUGGCGUCGUCACUUCAAGACAUCCCCCAUUCAGCAUCUACUGGCCAACAUCCACCAUAAUCAACUCAUGUGAGGGGCCCCACACCUGAUUAACGCCUACUCCGAUCCGAACCUGAUGAAAAUCUCUACGGUCAGCGCUGAACAAGCACCUGUGAUGAGGUAACUACAAGGCAUUCAAAGGUCUCACGUCCCUUGAUUUCCAAACAAGUCCGACACUGGCGAAAAGUGUCAAGGUUCAAUCGACCUAGGUUUGGGUUACAGAGGAAUCCUGACCUCUUCACGGUGUGCAGUCAUUGCUGCGUUUCUUGCAGACAUCCAUAAGGCUAAG